UGUCAAAAAACCCGAUGUGGUAUUAAUUUUAUUUCUGGCAUGACUUCCUAGGGAAAUGAGAACAUUAAGAUCAUAUAGAAAGAUGUUGUUCAGUGCAUUCCUUGCCCCAAAUUGAUGACUCGAGGCUGAAUUUGGUUCCAAUUGAAAACUCUAGAUCCCAUUUUCAUCUGCCUAUCGAAAAGUUGCAGGUUCAUGAGAAGUUGCUUCUGAAAUUUGCAAUGGAGAGCUAAGGGGACACUGAUAAGCUACCUUUUCAUGCUCACAACUCUACUUGCAGACAUGGCAACGCUCCUCUUUAUGUGCGGAGAAAGGCACAUCUCCCGCUCAGAUGACAAAUCCAGGCAGAAUUUGCAUCGAGUCAUAAAAUCUGAGCAUGAACCUUCCAAAGAACGAGCUUGAAGGAGUUCAUUAUCAACAAUAUUUUGUAGGAUAUCAAGGCCUAAAUCCUUGAUUCCAUUACGAUAAAAAACAAAAGUCUCGUCGUCUUUCUGGCGAAGGAAGAAUUUUGGGUACAAGCCUUUCGAAAAGCAGUGUCGAAGGAGAUUGUUGAUCUUUCGUGGUAAAUGAGAGAGAGAAUCAGUAAUUUUGAACCUCCAUUAAUAUCUUUGAUGCGGUGCUGUUUCCCAGUGGUCUGCCACGUGGUUU